CUUUGAGUGGAGCCUGGAGCAGGAAAGACCAUGGUCUUUCCAUCAUGGAAUGUUUUGAAGAAAGACAUACAGAAGACCCGAAGAUUAACUUUGCAAAUACUUGGAAUAUUCAGAAGCACCACAUACAGAAUGGGAUUCUAAGGUCCUGGAGUGGAAGCUUGAGCAAAAUGGGUUUUCUUUUGGAGUGACACUUAAAGGCGUUGGAAUAAAUCCUAGGUAAACGAGGAAGGCUGACAACCCCACCCCCUCAAGCUGUAGACGUAAGGAUGAAGCAGUGGAAGCCUCCAAGGGGAAUCUGCUCCCUUGCUGACCACAGCUGCUCUGACCACUGCUCCAAAGGUCCACCUUUUCCCCUGGGGAAAGGGGCAAAUGAACCUCUCGGUGGUCCUUUCUCCAGCAAUGACAGAUCCCAUUGUUUGGGAUUUGGUUCAUAAUGAUUUAACCGAAACUUUGGAGAAAUGACAAGAGUCUUAAAAUCAUGAAUAUCUUUUAACUCAGUGAACCCCCUUCUGAUGAUCUAUUCUAAAAAAUGAACUGAAAAUACAUAAAAUGUCUUAUAUUAUAUGGCAAUGUAAAUUGGUGCAGCGACUAUGGAAAACAGUAUGGAGUUUCCUCAAAUAAUUAAAAAAAUAAUAACUACCAUUUGAUCCAGCAACCCCACUUCUGGGUAUAUAUCCAAAGGAAAGGAAAACAGGAUAUCGAAGAGAUGUCUGCAUUCCUAUGUUCAUUGCAGCAUUGUUCACGAUAGAUAAGAUAUUGGAAUAACCUAAGUGUCCAUCAAUGGAUGAAUGGAUAAAGAUGUGGUAUAUACAGAUACAGUGAAAUAUGAUUCAGCCAUGAGAAAGAAGGAAACCCCGCCAUUUGCAACAACAUAGAUGCCCCUUGAGGACGCUAUGCUAGUGGAAAUAAUUCAGACAGAGAAAGAGAAACACUGCAUGGUAUUAUAUGUGGAAUCUAAAAAAAAGUCAAACUCAUAGAAAUAGAGAGUAGAAAAAUGGUUGGCAGGGGCUGUGGGGGUGACCCCUCAGAAUGUCAUCGUGAAUAAACUAAUUUUUUUAAAUU
ensembl:lncRNA